CAUUGUUUCGGCUGAGUCAAUGUUUUUACAUCCUAGUUGCUGAACGAUGACGGUGUCCCCAUACCAAAAAUAAAGCCAGUAGGUAAGAAUAAGAAAAACUUUAUUUAUCCCCGAAGGAAAAUUCAAUUUUCUGUUGUCUCACAAAAUAUGUCUCUAACAGUUAUCUACUUUUUACACAGGAGUUAUAAAGUCUAAUAGCUGUUGGUACAAAAGAUCUUCUGAAUCUUUCUGUCCUGCAGAGAAGAGAGAGGAGCCGUCCACCACCACCGGCCCUCCGGCCUUCCAGCCCAUCAAGGUGCCGUGAAGCGAGCAAUCCAUGCUCUCUAGAAUAGACGAAGCAUGUGCGUGAUUUUAGCCUGGAUAACAAAAAUACAAAUACUCGUGUUGUGUUAAGUAGUUGCAAGCUUAAGUGAAGCUGACUCUUACCUACAGGAUAUCAAAGUGGGCAUGGGUCAAGCCAGAAGAUGCUUGAAGAAAUGACAAACUCAUCUGUGGAGGUUUGUGAAAUAAGCCUACAGCUGGUUGUUUAACAUGAUCACCUUAUCAUAUCGAACACAAACGCUUAUUUUAAAAAGGGACAUUUUAGCGACAUCUAGCAGUC
rnacentral:lncRNA from 1 species